rnacentral:rRNA from 1 species
ACAGCAGCAGCCGCGGUAAUGCGUAGGUGGCAAGCGUUGUCCGGAAUUGUUGGGCGUAAAGGGCUCGCAGGCGGUUUCUUAAGUCUGAUGUGAAAGCCCCCGGCUCAACCGGGGAGGGUCAUUGGGAACUGGGAAACUUGAGUGCAGAAGAGGAGAGUGGAAUUCCACGUGUAGCGGUGAAAUGCGUAGAGAUGUGGAGGAACACCAGUGGCGAAGGCGACUCUCUGGUCUGUAACUGACGCUGAGGAGCGAAAGCGUGGGGAGCGAACAGGAUUAGAUACCCGAGUAGUCCCUGUCUCUUAUAC